rnacentral:rRNA from 1 species
GACGAACGCUGGCGGCGUGCUUAACACAUGCAAGUCGAACGCUGAAGACCUGGCUUUUGUUGGGUUGGAUGAGUGGCGAACGGGUGAGUAACACGUGAGUAACCUGCCCUCUUCUUUGGGAUAACGCCCGGAAACGGGUGCUAAUACUGGAUAUUCACUGAUCUUCGCAUGGGGGUUGGUGGAAAGGUUUGUUCUGGUGGGGGAUGGGCUCGCGGCCUAUCAGCUUGUUGGUGGGGUGAUGGCCUACCAAGGCUUUGACGGGUAGCCGGCCUGAGAGGGUGACCGGUCACAUUGGGACUGAGAUACGGCCCAGACUCCUACGGGAGGCAGCAGUGGGGAAUAUAGCACAAUGGGCGAAAGCCUGAUGCAGCGACGCCGCGUGAGGGAUGGAGGCCUUCGGGUUGUAAACCUCUUUCGCUCAUGGUCAAGCCGCAACUGUGGGUUGUGGUGAGGGUAGUGGGUAAAGAAGCGCCGGCUAACUACGAG